rnacentral:rRNA from 1 species
CCCUUAGAUGUUCUGGGCGGCCCGCGCACUACAAUGGCGCUUUCAGCGAGUUCCUAUGUUGAAUUUUCCUGGGUAUUCUUGGAAGCGGCGUCUUGACUUGGGAUAGAUCCUUGUAAUUGUUGGUUUUGAACGAGGGAUUCCUUGUAAUCGCGGUUGAUCAGCUCGCGUUGAAUACGUCCCUGCCCUUUGUACACACCGCCCGUCGCUCCUACCGAUGAAUCGUCCGGUGAAGUUCACAGAGUGGCGGUUCGUGGAGUUGCUCGCGAAGUGAAAUGGACCUCACGAUUUAGAGGAAGGAGAAGUCGUAACA